UACGUAGGGCGCAAGCGUUGUCCGGAAUUAUUGGGCGUAAAGAGCUCGUAGGCGGUCUGUCGCGUCCGUUGUGAAAACUCGAGGCUCAACCUCGGGCUUGCAGUGGAUACGGGCAGACUAGAGUGCGGUAGGGGAGACUGGAAUUCCUGGUGUAGCGGUGGAAUGCGCAGAUAUCAGGAGGAACACCGAUGGCGAAGGCAGGUCUCUGGGCCGCAACUGACGCUGAGGAGCGAAAGCAUGGGGAGCGAACAGG
rnacentral:rRNA from 1 species